rnacentral:rRNA from 1 species
CCUGAGAAACGGCUACCACAUCCAAGGAAGGCAGCAGGCGCGCAAAUUACCCACUCCCGGCACGGGGAGGUAGUGACGAAAAAUAACAAUACGGGACUCUAACGAGGCUCCGUAAUUGGAAUGAGUACACUCUAAACCUUUUAACGAGGAUCUAUUGGAGGGCAAGUCUAGUGCCAGCAGCCGCGGUAACUCUAGCUCCAAUAGCGUAUAUUAAAGUUGCUGCGGUUAAAAAGCUCGUAGUUGGAUCUCAGUCGAGCCUCCAAUGAUACGUUGAAAGGCGUUUAUCGUUGGGGCCGACAGCGCGUCGGUGGGCUCGGUUGGCCUUAAAAAGCUGAUCGGGUUCUCCGGCAAUUUUACUUUGAAAAAAUUAGGGUGCUCAAAGCAGGCCGGUGCCUGGAUAUUGGUGCAUGGAAUAAUGGAAUAGGACCUCGGUUCUAUUUUGUUGGUUUUCGGAUCCCGAGGUAAUGAUUGAGAGGGACAGACGGGGGCAUUCGUAUUGCGGCGCUAGAGGUGAAAUUCUUGGACCGCUGCAAGACGAACUACUGCGAAAGCAUUUGCCAAGAAUGUUUUCAUUAAUCAAGAACGAAAGUUAGAGGUUCGAAGACGAUCAGAUACCGCCCUAGUUCUAACCAUAAACGAUGCCAACCAGCGAUCCGCCUGAGUUCCUUAAACGACUCGGCGGGCAGCUUCCGGGAAACCAAAGUUUUUGGGUUCCGGGGGAAGUAUGGUUGCAAAGCUGAAACUUAAAGGAAUUGACGGAAGGGCACCACCAGGAGUGGAGCCUGCGGCUUAAUUUGACUCAACACGGGAAAACUCACCCGGCCCGGACACCGGAAGGAUUGACAGAUUGAUAGCUCUUUCUUGAUUCGGUGGGUGGUGGUGCAUGGCCGUUCUUAGUUGGUGGAGCGAUUUGUCUGGUUAAUUCCGAUAACGAACGAGACUC